UGCAGCUAUCACUCUGCAGCUUUCGCCUGGUCUCCCACUGACGCUAAGCAGGGUUGAGUUUGGCCAGUACCUGGAUGGGAGACCUCUUGGUUAAUCUAGGUUGCUGCUA
ensembl:rRNA 5S_rRNA 5S ribosomal RNA